GGCAUUCAUUACUCUGGGUUGACUUCUCCGAUAGGAUAAUUUUGUCUUGUGAGUUUAUACCCUUCCAGUGGUAUAAUCCACCCUUUUUGCAGCAAUGGCCACGGUCGCCAA